CUGUUUGCUCCCUCCACGAGGAUAUGGUCUGCACUGCCGGUGUCCCUUCCCUGCUGAGUAAAGGCAGCCAGAUUUCUCGAAAUACAGUUGCUGGCGCUGUUGUCCUGUGUUAUCGUCCAUGGGACCACCCUCCGUAGGACCACCUGCCUUGGGCCUGCCCAUGUCCGAGGGUGUAUGGCUGCCCCUCCGCGGAGCCCACUGAGCCUGGAGCAGAUGCACCUCCACAGUCACAGUGAUCAUGAUGCUGAGUGAUUCAGAGCUCUGGGAGGGCUUGCUGGGACUUCAGGAGCCUGAGCAUCUUUUUUUUUUUUUGUAUCACUAAUGUACACUUACAUGAGCAACAUUGUGGUUACUAGAUUCCCCCCA